rnacentral:rRNA from 1 species
GAUGAACGCUGGCUACAGGCUUAACACAUGCCAGUCGAGGGGAAACGACGGGGAAGCUUGCUUCCCCGGGCGUCGACCGGCGCACGGGUGAGUAACGCGUAUCCAACCUGCCUCUGACUGAGGGAUAACCCGUCGAAAGUCGGCCUAAUACCUCAUGGCAUCGUCUGCGGGCAUCCAACGACGAUUAAAGAUUUCAUCGGUCAGAGAUGGGGAUGCGUCUGAUUAGCUUGUUGGCGGGGUAACGGCCCACCAAGGCGACGAUCAGUAGGGGUUCUGAGAGGAAGGUCCCCCACAUUGGAACUGAGACACGGUCCAAACUCCUACGGGAGGCAGCAGUGAGGAAUAUUGGUCAAUGGGCGAGAGCCUGAACCAGCCAAGUAGCGUGCAGGAGGACGGCCCUAUGGGUUGUAAACUGCUUUUAUGCGGGGAGAAAGUGAGGGACGUGUCCUUCAUUGCAGGUACCGCAUGAAUAAGGACCGGCUAAUUCCGUG